rnacentral:rRNA from 1 species
GAUAUCAUGGGGAACACCAAAAGCGAAGGCAAUAGACUGGCACAUAUCUGACACUCAAGCACGAAAGCGUGGGUAGCGAAUGGGAUUAGAUACCCCAGUAGUCCACGCCCUAAACGAUGAUCACUAGCUAUUGGGAGUAUCGACCCUCACAGUGGCGUAGCUAACGCGUUAAGUGAUCCGCCUGGGAAGUACGGCCGCAAGGCUAAAACUCAAAGGAAUAGACGGGGACUUGCACAAGCAGUGGAUUAUGUGGUUUAAUUCGACGAUAAACGAAGAACCUUACCAAGGUUAGAAAUCAUGACGAAGAUAGGCAGAAACGCUUAUCGUCUUCGGACGGCUUGACAGGUGAUGCAUGGUUGUCGUCAGUUCGUGGUUUGAAUUGUUCCCUUAAGUGGGGUAACGAACGAAACCCUCAUCGUGUGUUUUAUUUGUCACACGAGACUGCCCCCUCUCUGUUCAGAAUACAUUCUGAAUUAUGAAUAGAGAGGGGGGAGGAAGGAGAGGAUGACGCCAAAUCAGCAUGUCCCUUGAUACCUUGGGCUACACACGUAAUACAAUGGGUACUACAAUGAGUCGCAAUGCCGCGAGGCGGAGCUAAUCUAUAAAAGUAUCCUCAGUUCGGAUUGGAGUCUGCAACUCGACUCCAUGAAGUUGGAAUCGCUAGUAAUCGCAGGUCAGCUAAACUGCGGUGAAUACGUUCUCGAGUCUUGUACUCACCGCCCGUCAAGUCAAGGGAGCUGGUGGCACCCGAAGUCUGCGCAUCGCGUGGCCGAAGGUGAAAUCGGUAACAGGGACUAAGUCGUAACAAGGCACGGCUAGCGGAAGCUGGUCGUG